AAAUUAAGUUCGGUUGGCGGUGGCGCGUGUUUUGAACGUUAUGGAGUCAGACGACUGCAAACUGCAGCCAGUGUCUACCUUUGGUUUGGUGUCAAGUUUUGAAUAAUCAACUUUACAAAUUUGACUAUUAUGUCACUCCAUGGAAGACACAAGAAUUUACCUGAUGACGACCAAGACUUCAACUAUACAUCCUAAGUCACAAGUAAAAGCGGAAUAGGCCUACGAUCAAGAAUGCAUCAGCAUCCUUGUGGCCUGGUCAGCGACGAAUGGAACAGCUUUUCAUCAGGAACUGAUGGCAGAUCUGGUGGAUAGAAUGUUGCCUGGAAGGCAUCCGGAUGUGGUUCUCUUCCGGUGAGAUGAUGUCUGAAAGUAAUUGUUGACCCGCAUGCCAAAUCGAUUUCCCAGUCUUGAGUGGACCCAGUUUUGUCAUGAGAAGGAAUAAGGUGUAGUCGGUGUACUUCGGUCGACGAUUAUACAAAGCUGAUACCAUGGUUACCCAAAACAGUCUCAUCAUGGUGAGGAUGAGCAAGGAUGUAGUUGGUCUUCCGCUGGCUCGAACCCUGAGGGUUACGUAAUUACACGGCAGAAGUGUUCCUGAGGACGUUGUAGGGAACAAAGUAGGUCGAUCAAAGAAUUCAAGCUUCAACGCAUGCGGCAACCUUUCUCUUUUCCCUAAUAUGUUUGUUUUAUGGUGCUAUGUUUAGACAAAAAUCCUAACGCAGUCAGUCCGCAACACCGAGAAAAACCGUCUAAUUUUCGUCUAUUAAAAAUCACAAUCAGAUGGUAUUUUUUUGGUACACGUUUAUUGAAAAAAAGUUGGGAGGGGUAGUUUCCCGGUGCCGUGGCCCCUGCAUUACGUGUAUGUGGAUUAAGGUAAAAAGGUAAGGUACAGAUCCAGCGUUUGCCUGGGAGGGGGGGGGGGGGUUGUUUUUCAUCUUUUUUUAGGAGGAAGGGUGUCCUUAAGACUGAAGCUUAAGUACAAAUUAGCUUUAUUUUUACAAAAGUGUAGUGUAUUUAUUAAGACAUGAAGGAAUGAUGUGUGUGAGAGGCUCAUGCUGACAAUUUGCAAUAUUCCGAUCUGAAAGAAGGAUAAUUAAAACACGUUCUACAAUAAAGGGCAUGAUGCAUAUCUCACCAAAAAUUAGUUACAUGUUAAAGGGAAAUGCAUAUAUAUUGGUUAAAAUCCAACAAAGAACGGGAGAGUUAUUAAUUGUAAAACUUUUAAUGUGUGACGUCAUAUGGAGCAGCCGCCAAAGAAAUGCCAUGUAACAUAAAUUGUUUCAAUGAAGUCACAUAUUUGGAUUGUUCAUGAUGAACAAAAAUAUUUCACUGGAAGGAGGUAAAAAAAAACCGAUGUGUAAGAUAUUUGAAUGCAGAAAUAAAAUCACUUUCAUUUUCUUCUUAGAUAAUUACAUUGUAUGGAAUCUAAAUCACAUGACAUGGGAGAGCUGCUAUUUGUGACGUCACCAAAAACUUUAUUUUUCUUUGACAGAUUAUUACACAAUCUUUAUCAAUGCAUUUCCUUUUCAUCUUCUCCCUUAAAAAAAUAAUGUCAUGGCGGACUUCUUCUUUACAGAAUUACUCCAAUUUGCCAACAUUUCUUGUUCUCAGUCUAGUAAUAAAAGGGUAACACAGGCUGAAAAUAAUAUGAUUUGAGAAGAUUAAGUAAAAUCAGAAAAACAAAACACUGAAAAUUUCAUCAAAAUCGGAAAAUAGGUGUAACAAAUUUAUGACUUUUGAAAUGUUCGCAUCAUUUCGGUGAAAGAGUUUUAUCCAUCAAAGUGUCUUCAUGAAUAUGCAAUGAGCAGGUUGGUGAUGUCAUCAUUUUUUUUCAAAUUCUGUCCACCAAGAAUGAAAAAUAUUGGUUUGACAUCCGACUUAAUGCGUAAGUUAACCAUUUCCGGCAACUCAUUUUGUUACAAUGAAAAGUUAUCAAGCACAUAUGUAUGCAGAUAUGAAAUAAUUAUGAUUUAUUGCAAUAACAUAAGAAAAAAGAAAGUGGGGAUACGACGACAUCCUCUACUUAUUGAAUAUUCAUGACGGCGUGCAUAUAAUUGUUUCACUUAAUAUUACUAAACUUUAAAAUUCAAUGACUCCAUUAUUUGUUAUCAGAUUUUGAUGGAAUUUUCAGCGUUUUGCUUCGUGAUUAUUUCUAUAUUCAUCUAGCUAUACAUAUUUUAAGCCCAGAGUACUUCUUUAAGGUCAUCAAAGGUAAUUUUUUAAACUAAGAAAUUGUGCAUAUAAUCUGAAAAAAAAUUUCAUUGUAUGUUUUCAAUUGCUGUUAUCUCCCAGAAUAUUCGUUAAAAAAGAGAAAUAUGGUAUGACUGUUUUCGGUUGUUUUACAAUCAGGGUAACCCAACUGUAUCCUUUGACUAAAAAAGGUUUUGUUUUCCCUAAAUGUUUGUGUUGGAAACAAGUGAAUUGAUCAUAUUACAAAAAUGUGAGGGAUACACCUUACAGCCAUCCACUAAUCUUUCUUUUUUUUAAUUAUUAUUAUUUGGGUUUAAUCUUUAACUUAAUAUUCUGUCAAUUGCUAAAUAUUUUGGA